UUUUUUUACACUGAUAUGUAUUUUAUUUUACACAUUUGAAAACAUUAUUCCAAGAAUGGCUUGCAUAGGUUUCAUCAGACUGCAAAAGGGAUCCCAGAAAAGAGUCUAAAAUCUAGAGCUGGAAUCAGAAAUCAUCUGGGAUCUAUGAAGCAAUUUGUCACAAAAGGGAAGCUUGUAUGAGUGGAACCUUCAAAUUAGGGCUGCACGUGUUGCCCUGGAGAAUAUUUAGAAUGAGAUGUUGAGGGAAUUAGAGGUGUUAUGUAUACUUUUACUGGUUGCAGUCCAUCAUAGUCUUUGAUUCUUAUUUCUUCUUUUUAAUAAAACUUUCUUAUAUAGUCUAUUCCAUUAUGGCCCAAAUGCUCACAGGUGUGGAAUUAGAGCCAAUAUCUAUGUGUUAAAAAAUUAAAUUAGUCUCUACUGAUAAAAAUAUUAUAUUUUAUGAGGUUUAUUAAAGAUUAUUAGAAAUCAAGGAUACAAAAUAAUCAACCACAUGCUUAGGGCUGAUUAGCCCAUUCACAUUUUACUUACUACAUGUUUUAAUCACUGAGUAGAGGAAGAGAGAGGCGGAAGUAGGCGGUACAGCCAGUUUAAAUACAAGUUGUGAUCUCGUCCAGGUGGGGUCUCAGGUGAGAUUAUAGGGAAUUCUGGGAAGUACCAAGGACUUCUGGGGAUUGAAGUCUGGGGUUCAAAUCUCCAUUUUACACAUGGAUUAUCCAAUUAAGAGGUUUUUACCAAGAUUUCUGAGGGUACUUGGGCCAGUAGCGUUGUAAUACCCUUGCCAAAUGAUCAUGGCCCUUUAUGCAAUGGCGCCACUGACAAAAAUGGAUUACAGAAGAAAAAGAUACAAUUAUCGGGAAGAUGGAGCAGAAACAUAUUCCAUUCCUUUCCUUGGAGUGGGAAAGGGUGAAGAAACUGAGGCAAAAAGAGGUCAUGUGACUUUCCCAAUCUCACACAGGGUCAGAACCAGAGCUUGGACUGGAAACCAGACCCCCUCACGGACUGUUCAGAGUUCUUUCUAUGCACUGAGCUGCCGCCUUGCAAAGAAAUAUCCGCAGUGUCUUGUAUGUAUAAAGUAAAUAAUUCAUGAUUAUUAGAUUGGCUAAUAAUCCCUGAAAUAUGGGAAAAUGAAUGACCAUGAUCAUUAUUUUAUUGAACCAACAAGACUCUUGAUGGUCUUCUGCUAUUUUGUUUCUCAAUGAGGACUUUACCUGAUUUUCUGAAAGGGAGGUUAGGAAGGAAAAGAAGUCUGAUCUAUCUGGAUUUUCUUUCUUUCUUUCUUUCUUUCUUUCUUUCUUUCUUUCUUUCUUUCUUUCUUUCUUUCUUUCUUUCUUUCUUUCUUUCUUUCUUUCUUUCUUUCUUUCUUUCUUUCUUUCUUUCUUUCUUUCUUUCUUUCUUUCUUUCUUUCUUUCUUUCUUUCGACUGCAGGCUUUCCCACUUGCCUUAUUGACUUAUUUAGAAAAUAAUUAUUCUGAUUAGGAUUCUGAUUUCCCCAGGCUACAGGAGAUAAAAGCCAGAAUGAGGACUUGGAAGGGAGUUGUUAGAGAUACAUACUCAGGUAACAGCAGAAGUGAUAGCUUCUAUCUCCACAAGAGGAAAACUAGAAAAUGUAGGCAAAAAUGUAGUAUUGUACUUAAAAAAAACUAAUCAACUUUCACUUUAUUGUAAGCUUUUAUUUGAAUAUUAGUUCAAAUGGAGUUAUCUGGAAGUAUUUAAAUGAACAAAUUUUUUGAUGUAGCACUUUAAAAAAUAUUUCCAUCAUUACUUUCCACUGCCCAAAGACCUUUAAUAUACUAACCCGAUUAAUUAAAAAACCUUUUGGGAAAUGCAUUUAGGUUUUUGAUAAUAAUUAAUAAUGAUUGGUAAUAAUUAAUAUAUUUUACAUCAAUAACAGAUAAAUGAUAAACAAAAGAUGAC
rnacentral:lncRNA from 1 species